AUUUAAAUAGUUUAAUAAAAAUAUUGAUUUGUGGAAUCAAAGUUAUCAAAAGAUUUUAAAUU
rnacentral:tRNA from 1 species